ensembl:lncRNA
GAGCCGGGAACGAGCUCAUAAAGAGCACGCGCAUUUUUAGCGGUCCGGAGCUGUAGGAGAAACACAAAUUACCUCAGGCACACAGACUGAUGCGACAAAACCGACAUGACUGGUUAGGACAUGAGGAGGAAACAGUAGGAGCUGUGUGAGGCUACUAAAGGCAGUGGAUCCCUCAGCAGCUGGAUUACAAAGAACACAGUCUCAGAUCAGCACAGCCCUGCCCUCCAGCACUAUCAGCAGCAGGAGCAGCAGCAACCCCUCAACACCAACAUUGUACCCAUCAGGUAAAACAUAGGCUACGUUUGCUUUGCCUUGUUGCCACCUCACAACAAUAAUGUAGUAUGAUGCGAUCCCAUAUUAGAUUCUUGAUGAAUGUGUGUUGUUGUUAUUCAGCCUGGUUCAAUGUGCCCCUUUUUAACUUUGAGCACCUGCCCCUUUAAACGUCUCUGCACGGCCCUGGUGCUGAGUAGAUUUUAUCAGAACUCGUCCACAGAUUUCUACAUGCAUCAUUUCCCACAGUAAAACUGACCACAGCUUAAGCUGCAGUUCUUUUAAAACAAAAGAAGCGCAUUUCUUGUAAAGCAACAACUUUGGAGAAAAGUUAUUUUACUGUAAAUUAAAUAAAAAUCUUAUCAAAUGUAAAAAAACAAAAAACAAAAAUGAAAACACACACGCACACAAAUAAACACAAAAAUAUUACAAGGACUGGUCCCCAAGGCAGACUUUAAACUAAAGGUUAUAUUGCAAGGAAUAAAUACUAUGCUUUUUUG